ensembl:lncRNA LINC01828 long intergenic non-protein coding RNA 1828
GGCCAUGUGAGGUCUCAGCAAGAAGGCCAUAGUCUACAAACCAGAAAGGCAGCCCUUACCAGAGACCAACCCUGCCAGACCUUGAUCAUGGACUCCUAGCCUCCAGAACUAGACAGGGUCUCACUAUGUUGCCCAGGCUGGUCUCAAAUUCCUUCUCAAGUGAUCCUCCCACCUCAACCUCCCAAAGUGCUGGGAUUGCAGGCAUGAGCCACUGCACCCAGCAGAAAUUCUUAACGAGGCAAGGCCAACAGAGGCCAUUCAUUCAACAUCACGGCACCAUAGUGGCCUCUUUUUAAGACUCCUCAGGUUCCAGAUAGAUUUCAUCACUCAAGAUAAGCAAAUGAACCACAGAAUUUUGAAGUUAGAGGUAAUUACAGCAAUGAUCUUAGCCAGCCCCCAUACAUUUUGGGACACACAGGUUCAGGACUGCCUGCCCUGGAGCUGAUUCCAUAAGAUACCCAAACAACUUCUGAAAGAGAAAAAAGUCUUUGUCUCAGUUUCUGCUCUCCAGAGGUAACCCAAAGAGGUAAGGAACCCAGUGAGAAAGACAGAGAGAAGUAUGGACAAGAAACAGAUCCUAAACCUGUUUUGUUUUAUUUUUGGUAGUAGUUGUUUAUUUUUGAAAACAUUCAAACCACCUGUAUUGGUGGCUGUUAUUAUGAAAUAAAUAAACUGAGAAACAACAAGACAAUUUGGCCUCUACAAUUUGUUUAGUUUUGACUAAGUAUUUGCCUUGGAAGAAGUAUGUGUACAAUACUCAUUUUUAAAAGAUGCAACAGUCACCUCGUUACUUGGAGUUUUACUUGAGACUUGAAUGGACUGAAACCACCUGGUCACCACUAGAAGCUACAUCAAGGAAAAGAAAGGCAACAUAUUGAAUCUCUUGGGAGAAACUCAUCCUGUAUCUGCUCGAUUGAAAACAUGAAGGUGCACAUUCCAAGCUGCAUAUGCUCAGGUCCGAGUUUCCAAGGAAACAAGGGACUGCUCAUCUAUCUGCAAAACUGAACUGACGAGUCACUUUCAGCUUGUUACAAACCUUGAUUCUGAAUCAAAUUCUAGUGUGCAGUCUAAAAAUUCUCACUGCCUUGUCAUUUCUGCCGAGCAAACCCCUGAUGCUAUGAGGCUGGCAGUUGGGCAGGGAUUUUCCUGGGUUGUGCACUCUAAUUUUUUCCUCUGCACUGUUAGUGAAAUACUGUCAUUGAGAACCAGCUCCACACUGCACCUAUGUGAGAAAGGCCUUGGUUUCUAUCAGUAAAGUCAGACAGGGCUAUGUGCAUUUGGGAUGCCCUGGUCAACCAUACAGGAGGAAGCACAGUGGUCUUCCCAGCUCUCACAGUGGCCACCAGCUCUCAGGCUCACAAACUAGGCAAAGCAAAGAGCAACAGAACAACCUACUUCCCAACUUUCAUUAGUCACUCAAAUCCAAGUGGGUGAUCGUAUUUCUGAAGGUCUUGAAUACAGGACUUCCUGACCAUUCUUUAGCAUUUACUGAUGAAAGUAUUUCAGAUGUGUUAUGUUGUUUGGCAUGUGUUAUGUUGUUUGGCAAUCACAGUAAGUGUUGAGAUAGAUACUAUGAUUAUCUUCAUUCUCUAGGAACAGGCACAGAGAGGUUAAGUAAUUUCCCAAAGGUCACACAGUUUGUAAGUGAUAAAACUGAUUUGAAGCCAAACUAUGUCACCCCAAACUCAUAUUUUUAACACUUUAUUCCAUCUUCUAAAAGGCUGGCUAUUCUAUUUUUCUCUAAGUUUCAAAUUAGUAUGCCCAUUCCCUUGUUCAUUCAUUCAUUCAUCCAACAAACAUGUGUCAGGCAUCUAUGCCAGGCUCUGUGGAUAUAGUAUAAUAACAAACAAGACAGAUAAGAUUUCUCAGGGAGCUUACGUUUUGUAGAGGAGACUAAAUAAAUAAGCAAGCACAAACAAUGUAGAGUUUGUAAUAUUACCUAUCCCAGCAAAGGAAACCAACACUAGUGUGAGAAAAUUAAAUUAUAAAAGACCCUAACAUUUUCAAGAUACUGAAGGGGAUGAGAUGAAGCAGAGGUAGAGUGGGGCUGGAUUAUGCUGAAACACAUAGAACAGACUGGAUUCUAUUUUAAGUGAGGUGAUAAAUUCUUAAGGGUUUGUCAUUUUUGAGGUAGAACUGUCUUUUGUUCCUAUUGUAAAGAAACUACAUAGGUAGGCAUAAAAUACACCUGUAUGCCAGAGAUAGAAAAAUUCAUAUAAUUCCCAACUCCAAUUCUAUUUCUCUAGGAUAAUUUUAAUUGUGUAUAUGAAACAUAUCUCAAUGUUCUUGAAAGACUGAAAUCCACUCUUUUUAUUAUUUAUUGACUUAUUGAUUUGUGGUUAAGGAAAAAGUAGACUGAAGUAAAAAUAAAGAGUGCAGGAGUAUAAUUGCACAAGAAGUGGGAGGGAGACUUGUUGAACAGGCAACAGCCUAAAGUGAGUAUCCAUGAGUGGGCUCAGUAUGACCCUGCAGCUCCCCCAUCACACUUGCACCCACCUCAAGGAAUCCAGUUCACCUCUAUGGAAAAUCCCUGGGCUCCACGGGACAGAGUCUUGUUUUGUUUUACAUCUGUGUGUCCAUGCCUAGCCAGUAUCUUGUUUAGUGCAGCCUUUCCAUAAUAUUUGUGGAGAGAAAGAAAAAUGAAAGGAAGAAGAGAGGGAGGGGAAAAAGAAAGUGAGAGGAAAGAAGAAAGGUAAAAAGGAAGUAGCACUCUUGGUUUUGCUUCUCCUUGGCUGUUUCGUUAUUCUCAGUACUCCCCAACCCAUCUUCCUGGGAUAAGAAAAAAAAAAGACAUCUAAAAUGACACUUCCAAAAGAUUAAUAUUUUCAUUUCAACACUUCUGAAAGUAUUUCAAUGAAAUUGCUUUCAAAUGGUUUAUUUUAUAUUAGAUCAUUGAGAGAUAGAUUAAUGUCAUAAACGUAGGUACUAGCAAGCAAUAUUUUUGUCUCCUAUGUGCACAUAUUGUAUAUUUCAUAUCCUCUGAUAACUUGAAGUCACUAAUUUAAGUCAAAUUAGGGAAAGGGCAGUAUAGUAAUUGCAAUAUUUUCGGCUCCUUCUUGGUAACAAAUGCAGCUUCUUUUUUCCCCUCCACCCAUAUAUGAGUCUUCUUUUUCUUUGGCUAAGAUAUAAUAGCACUGCUCUACAUGAACAAAACUAUUUUUACUGGCUAUGUUAUUACUGAGAAAUGCAUUGGGAAAAUGUAAAAAUAUUUCACCUUUAUGUUGAAGAAAAUAAACACAGUGGAUUAGAU